rnacentral:siRNA from 1 species
AUGAAUUGGUUUGUUUGUAGGA